AUGAUGAGGCCCCGCCUUCCCGCUUCGGCUGCUGCUUGUUUCCCCGCCGCCGCCAAUCCCCGAGGAUCAUCUAUCCUUUGGUGCAGGCAAAAAAACAAGUAGCAAUUGGUCAGGGGAAGAAUGGCAUUGAAGAAGAUUUCCAGCAACAAGUGGUUUGGAGGACUGCAGAAAGUUUUUGAACAUGACAGUGUUGAACUGAACUGCAAAAUGAAAUUUGCUAUCUACUUACCACCAAAGGCAGAAACUGGAAAAUGCCCUGCACUAUAUUGGCUGUCUGGUUUGACUUGCACGGAACAAAAUUUUAUAUCAAAGGCUGGUUAUCAUCAAGCUGCCUCCAAACAUGGCCUUGUCAUCAUUGCUCCAGAUACGAGCCCUCAUGGCUGCAAUAUUAAAGGAGAAGAUGAGAGCUGGGGCUUUGGCACUGGUGCUGGGUUUUAUGUGGAUGCCACUGAAGAUCCUUGGAAAACUAACUACAGAAUGUACUCUUACGUAACUAAGGAGCUUCCCCAACUCAUAAAUGCCAAUUUUCCAGUGGACCCCCAAAGGAUGUCUAUUUUUGACCACUCCAUGGGAGGCCAUGGAGCUCUGAUUUGUGCUUUGAAGAAUCCUGGAAAGUACAAAUCUGUGUCGGCAUUUGCUCCCAUUUGCAACCCAGUGCUCUGUCCUUGGGGCAAAAAAGCCUUUAGUGGAUAUUUGGGAACAGAUCAAAGUAAAUGGAAGGCUUAUGAUGCUACCCAUCUUGUAAAGUCCUACCCAGGUUCUCAGCUGGAUGUACUAAUUGAUCAAGGGAAAGAUGACCAGUUCCUUUCAGAUGGACAGUUACUACCUGAUAACUUUAUAGCUGCCUGUACAGAAAAGAAAGUCCUGUUGUUUUUAGAUUACAAGAGGGUUAUGAUCAUAGCUACUACUUCAUUGCAACCUUUAUUACUGAUCACAUCAGACAUCAUGCAAAAUACCUGAAUGCAUGAAAAACUUCAGAUAAGAGGAUUUGUUCAAGAUUAUAUAAAAUUUGUUCUAGAUUAUAAAAAGGGAAAAAUGAUUUCAAGACAUUGGAUUUCAUAGUGCUAAAAAUGCAUCAUUCCAUAGUUGAAUCACUUUCUGAAUAAAUAUGUAGAACCU